GGGUUCUACCGUUGGUCGGGCAAUAGUCUGUACUGGCGUGUAGAAUUUCUACCUUCUGGGGAACCAUCAUGUUAUUUAUUUAGCGUGGUGGGAAACCAGGACCUUUACCUUGAAAAAAUUAGAGUGUUCAAAGCAGGCUUACGUCUGAAUACAUUAGCAUGGAAUAAUAAAAUAGGACGGUGGUCCUGUUUUGUUGGUUUCUGAAUCACCGUAAUGAUUAAUAGGGAUAGUUGGG
rnacentral:rRNA from 1 species